GGAAAUUGGUUUUUCUGGUCAGCAAAGUUCCUUGAGUUAAGAGAGACAUUUGUGAAUUCCUUUUUCAAGAACAACUCUCUUUUCUUUUUCCCAGUCUUCCCUUGCAGUGAGCUUUUUCUUUUUCAUUUUGAAUUUUUCUUUUUCUUACUUUUUCUUUUCUUUUGUCUUUUUCUUGUUUUUUUCUUUUGAUUGCUCACUGCCUAAAGAGGUGGGUUGUUUCCUGGUAACCCUAAACUUGAACCUUUAUCAGUACCUCAUCAAAUGUUCUCAACUUAACUCAAGGUAAAGAUUUUUCAAAAAGGUUUUUCAAGACAUAUCAGACUCAAGGUUCAAAGGUUAGAGAAAAUUGUUCUCUUUUCAGUGGGC
rnacentral:lncRNA from 1 species